rnacentral:rRNA from 1 species
CAGCAGCCACGGGAAUACGAAGGGGGCUAGCGUUGUUCGGAAUUACUGGGCGUAAAGCGCACGUAGGCGGAUAUUUAAGUCAGGGGUGAAAUCCCAGAGCUCAACUCUGGAACUGCCUUUGAUACUGGGUAUCUUGAGUAUGGAAGAGGUGAGUGGAAUUCCGAGUGUAGAGGUGAAAUUCGUAGAUAUUCGGAGGAACACCAGUGGCGAAGGCAGCUCACUGGUCCAUUACUGACGCUGAGGUGCGAAAGCGUGGGGAGCAAACAGGAUUAGAUACCCGUGUAGUCCCUGUCUCUUAUAU